CCGACCUUAACUCAGUUGGUAGAGCGGAGGACUGUAGUUUGAUUAAUCUAAAUUGGAAAUCCUUAGGUCGCUGGUUUGAAUCCGGCAGGUCGGA
rfam:Ipomoea nil DNA, scaffold: scaffold2701, cultivar: Tokyo-kokei standard.